GAUGAAGAACGCAGCGAAAUGCGAUACGUAAUGUGAAUUGCAGAAUUCAGUGAAUCAUCGAAUCUUUGAACGCACAUUGCACUCUCUGGUAUUCCGGAGAGUAUGCUUGUUUGAGUAUCUGUAAACAUCUCAAAUCUCUCUUCAAUUGCUUCAAUUGGGUCGAGAGAAUUGGAUUUGAGCGAUCCCGACUCCUUCGUCAGAAAGAGGAGGGUCGCUUGAAAUGCAGGUGCAGCUGGACAUUCUUCUGAGCAAAAAGCAUAUCUAUUUAGUCCCGUCAAACGGAUUAUUACUUUUGCUUCAGCUAAUAUAAAGGUUGAAUGAACUACCAACGCUGAUUGCAGGAAAACAUGUUCGUUUAUUCGGACUUGUAAACUCGAUCUCAAAUCAAGUAAGACUACCCGCUGAACUUAAGCAUAUCAAUAAGCGGAGGA
rnacentral:misc_RNA from 1 species